rnacentral:lncRNA from 1 species
AGAGUAUUUUCUUUCUUGUCCAGAUUAGCUAAAUUGGAUUGUUCUAUGCUAAAUUCACUUAAUCACUACUCUAUUAUUUUUGAAUUUUUUAGUUCUGUUUUUUUCACUUGGUUCUUUUUUUAAAAAAACUUCUACUACCUUUCUGAGACUUCUACUUUUUUACUUUUUUCAAGAAGCUUUAUAAUUACUUGCUAAAGCAUUUUUACCAUGACUGUUUUUAACUUCUUCAGAUAACCACAACAUUUGGUUAAUCUUGAGGUUGGCUUGGUUAACUGUCUUUUCUCAUCCUGCUUAUGAUUUUCCUUCUAAUUGUGAUUUUUCCGGUUCUUGAUAGAUGGGUGAUGUUUUAGUUUAUCCUGCAUUUUUUUUUCCUUUUUAAGUUAGAGGAAUCUGAAUCUAUUCAAAUGUUUUAUUUUAGCAGGCAUGUGCCCUGUUUAGGUUUAAUUUGAAUGUCCUGUCCUACUUUUGUAGGCCAUGUUUUCGCAGGCAGUCUUGCUAUCAGAGCUGAGGGGAUGCUGUUUUGAUCACUUAGUUUAUCUGAUGUUGCUGGGCCUCCAACUGGUGCUGACUGGUACUUCCUGAGAUGGCGAAGGUUUUUCUGUACUCUGAGAUGCCGUGUAUCUCUAUGUAAGGGGAGGAGACUCUGGACCACAGGAAUGAAGAGAACAUCUUAGUUCAUUGUGGAACCAGCACAGAUUUUCAUACGAAAGUUAUUUCUUUUUAACCUCAAAAAGUGACAGAAUGGAGUGUAUCAUGAAAAAGUCUGACAUCAAAACCUCAAAAUGUGAUAUUGAUUGGGUGAGAUAGAAUUCCAUGGAAUUUCAUUGCCAAACCAGUGAAGUGCUAAUUUUGACAUUUGUACCAGCUAACGUAGCUGUGAAGAAACACACCAAUACACUUCUAAGGACAGCAUAGACCAAGAUCUAGGUUUCAUAUGGAUGAAUUUAUUCUUCCCUUUGAGGCAAGACAAGAAGGAAAGAAAGUAUUGGGAAUAAUGCUGCCCUCCCAUCCUCAAGGGCCAGUGGGAACUCUAAUAUUGAUUGGUUUUCACAGAAUUCCAUGGACUUUAACUGCUGAACCAAUGAUGCACUGAUUUUGUCACUUGUACCAGCUAACGCAUCUGGGAGGCAACAAAACAAUACUCUCCUGAGUGUGCUUUGUGUAUUGGAGGUAAUACUGGAAUUGCAUGGAAUUCCUACUGCUGCUCCAGUAACCUGCUGAUUUUGUCACGUGUACCAGAUUCGUUGUCUGGCAAUGAGAACAAUACACUUCAGAGGUUAAUGUGGACCAAAAACUAGAUUUCAUAUAAAAGAGUUUAUUCCUUCUACUUGAGGUGUGACAUGAAGGAAAGUAAUGGAAAUAAUUCUGCCCUCCCAUUCUCAAGGGCCAGGGGGAAUUCAAAUAUUGAACGGAAGUGAUUUUGGAAUUGCAUGGAAUUCUCACUGCCAUCCCAAAGAAAUGCUGAUCUUGUCACUCUUACCUGUUUCAUUCCCUGGGGGCAGAACAAAAGGACGCACUCCAAAGAUCGGCAUGAACCAAGAACUGGGUUUCAUAUAAAAUAUUUUAUUCUGUCCUCUUGAGAUGUGACAUGAGAAAAGUAUUGAGAAUACUUCUAUCACCUCAUCUUCAAGAAUCCGUAGGAAUUCUCCCAUGGUGGACUUUACGGUUAACCUGAACAGGUCUUGGAAAAAGGACUUUAAACAUUCUCCUGUUCUGUGGAAUAAGUAUACUUUUUUCUGGACAUACACCUUGUCAGUGAGUUCCAUGUGAUACUAGAGUUGCAUAGAUUUUUAACCUUUACGCCAAUGAAGAUCUGAGGCAAACAUUGCCCCUUUUUUAGAAGUUUGCAUUUGUCACUGAUAACUGUAAUAAUUGAUCUUGUUGAAAAGCCUGGGAAAUGAAGAUCUGAUAUGUCACUUUUACCGGCUUCCUCAACUGAAAAAGAAUACAAUGAAACACGCUGAGAAUUUUUGUGCUUUCUCAGUCUUGCUGAUGAUCUUUCUAUGGGCCUGAAGCGUGGAGAGUGCCAGAGAGGCUGAUCCUCAGCAGUGUGGCAGAGGAAAGUUGGGUGCGACUAAGGGGUAUGCGGUGCCCACAUGCCACUGGGUCCUCAGCAGUACCACCUGAUUGGAAGUGAUAUUGGUGGAAGACAACAUUUUGCCGCUUGGAAUUCUCACCUCCACACCAAAGAAGUACUGUUUUUGUCAUUUGCACCAGCUUCUUUCUCCAGGAAAGAUCAAAACGAUGCACUGCAAGGUUAACAUCCAAUUUUUAAUACAUGUAAUUCCCUGGAUUAUUUUUGUUGUGUUAUUAAAUAACUUAGAAUUUUUUUUACAAAGUCUGUUGAACCAAACACUGUAAGGCAUUAAUAACCUGGUGAGUUAUUUGAGGCCUUUUUUCCUCUCCUAGAAUUUUUGCACAAUUUAUAUUUUGAAUAAUAUCAGAGACAUCCUAGUAGAGUAAUGAAUUAGUACAUUUUAUAUGCAGAUACAUAGUGAAGCCUCCUUUCUUAUGCAUAUUUGACAAAUGGACAUGUAUAUUUCUCAUCUUCCCAUAUUUUUACUCCAUUUCCACAGGUCAUGUAGACCAAAAUGUGAAUGUCAUAUGAAAGAGUUUAAACAUUGCCCUUGAAAUAUGACAGAAAGUAUCAGAAAUAAUUAUACCAUUCCAUGCUCACAGGCCAGUGGGAAUUCUCACAGUAAGCAUUUUGUCCAGAGAAUAUUCUUCUUAGGGAACUAUAACAUUCCAAUGAUAAUGGUAGUCAGCCAUGUGGCUGGAUCAUCGUUCCUGUAUCCUGGUCUCUAUGACUUAGUGUGGUGAUGGUGUCAUUGUGUCCAAGUGUGACAGAAUUGUUAGUGUGUAGUGUCUGUCUCCUAUCUCAGGCUCACAGUCCCUUUUAUAAACAUGCCUGGAUUGAUGAUGGCUUCAGUAUCUUUUGGAAAUCUGGACUGAGCAAUAGAAUUGCUUCUCUCAAAUUGAUUUCAAGUCAUAUAAAAGGCCAUGUUACACAUAUAUUGUUAAUCUGAGGGAGGCUGUGAUCAUUUAAGUUGUAUUUUAUAAACACUAGGACCACCAGUAAGAAAACAAUUCAAAAAAUAUUAAAAGAACAACCAAAGAAUUAAAAUAGAAUAACCGAAAAGAUCUGUUUAACACAAAAGAAGGCAGUUAAAGAUGAACAGAGGAACCAAUAAGACAUAUAGAAAACAGAUAGGAAAAUGACAGACAUAAACCCAGCCAUAUGACAAUUAUAUUAAAUUUUUAAGAGAUUAGGAAAUUCCGUUGUUUUUUAAACAUGAGCAACUAUACGCUGUCUACAGAAGAGACACUUUAGAACAAAAGAUACAAAUAGUUGGAAAGUAAAAAGAUGGAAAAAGCUAUAUCCAGCGAAUCCAGAAGAGAGCAGAAGUGGCUAUUCUGACAUCAGAAAAAAGAGACUUUAAGAUAAAGUAUUGCUAGAGAGGAAGAAGGAUAGUAUUUAAUGAUAGAAGGGUUAAUAUGGAAUAUGUAACAAUUACAAUCAUAUCAGCACUAACAACAGUGCCCAAAACUACAUACACUGAAAUUUAACAUGAUUGAGGGGAUCAAUAGGCAAUUCAACAAUAAAAGCUUUUGUUCAUACCCUCUUCUUAAUCAGUGAUAAGUCAAUUAGAUAGAGCAUCAUUGAGGUUACAACAUACUUCAGCAAUGUUGUCAACCAAUUUGACCUGAGAUAGAUAGAUAGACAGUUAGACAGACAGACAGACAGACAGAGAAAACUUCACCCAACAACAGAAAUACAAAUUAUUUUCAAGCAUACCUGGAACAUUCUCCAGGAUAGAGUAUAUGUUAGGCUAUAAAACUGUACUCAAUAAAUUUAAGAUUGAAACCAUGUAGAGUAUGUUGUGUGACCAUAGAGGAAUUAGAAAUCAACACAGAAAUAAAUUUGGAGGUCACAAGAUAUUUGGAAAUUAACACACUUUACAGAGCCCAUUGGUCAAAAAUAUAUAUAUUAAACUAGAAAGGCCGGGGGUGGUUGCUUACACCUGUAAUUCCAGCACUUUGG